rnacentral:rRNA from 1 species
CCUACGGGGUGCAGCAGUCGAGAAUCAUUCUCAAUGGGGGAAACCCUGAUGGUGCGACGCCGCGUGGGGGAAUGAAGGUCUUCGGAUUGUAAACCCCUGUCAUGUGGGAGCAAAUUAAAAAGAUAGUACCACAAGAGGAAGAGACGGCUAACUCUGUGCCAGCAGCCGCGGUAAUACAGAGGUCUCAAGCGUUGUUCGGAAUCACUGGGCGUAACGCGUGCGUAGGCUGUUUCGUAAGUCGUGUGUGAAAGGCGCGGGCUCAACCCGCGGACGGCACAUGAUACUGCGAGACUAGAGUAAUGGAGGGGGAACCGGAAGUCUUGGUGUAGCAGUGAAAUGCGUAGAUAUCGAGAGGAACACUCGUGGCGAAGGCGGGUUCCUGGACAUUAACUGACGCUGAGGCACGAAGGCCAGGGGAGCGAAAGGGAUUAGAUACCCCAGUAGUC